UUGAGUUAGGUUUGUGGUUGAAAAUCGAUGCCAGUCGCAGGCGAAACGAUCCACGUAAGUUAGAUAAAAUGUUUAAUGAGCAUGGUGCGGUUUAGAGGUAAGUCCUGCCGUUUUACAAGGCGAGAGUGUUAGUAGUGAGAGGUUAAUUCCGGGUAGCAAAAGCUCCAGCAGGCGAGUGUGGGGUCAAAGACCAGGUCAACUAGCUUAA
rfam:Clostridium magnum DSM 2767 CLMAG_contig000006, whole genome shotgun sequence.